GAUGAACGCUGGCGGCGUGCCUAAUACAUGCCAGUCGAGCGAACAGAUGAGGAGCUUGCUCCUCUGACGUUAGCGGCGGACGGGUGAGUAACACGUGGAUAACCUACCUAUAAGACUGGGAUAACUUCGGGAAACCGGAGCUAAUACCGAAUAAUAUAUUGAACCUCAUGGUUCAAUAGUGAAAGACGGUUUUGCUGUCACUUAUAGAUGGAUCCGCGCCGCAUUAGCUAGUUGGUAAGGUAACGGCUUACCAAGGCAACGAUGCGUAGCCGACCUGAGAGGGUGAUCGGCCACACUGGAACUGAGACACGGUCCAGACUCCUACGGGAGGCAGCAGUAGGGAAUCUUCCGCAAUGGGCGAAAGCUUGACGGAGCAACGCCGCGUGAGUGAUGAAGGUCUUCGGAUCGUAAAACUCUGUUAUUAGGGAAGAACAAAUGUGUAAGUAACUAUGCACGUCUUGACGGUACCUAAUCAGAAAGCCACGGCUAACUACGUG
rnacentral:rRNA from 1 species